GACAAAAUAGUAAAGGCUCUUAGAAUAAAGAUGCUCCGAUGGGUUAAAACACACACCGGAAUCUGAAAACUUGAAGCACAACUGGAAUAUUCAGAUCCAGACAUGACUUGCAUCGUAUUUCUAUUGGACAGCGAUAUUCUGGACAUCAAAUUUAUCAGAUAAGUUUAAGGGUGUAUCUUACUUUGCAUUUUGUAGCCAAAAUAUUAAAAUCCUUCAGAAAGAAAAAUAUUUUAAAUGGCAGUGGAGGAAGAUCACACGACAGGGAAAGAUGGAAGAUAUAUCACAAAAACUCUGUUUGGCUUUAUGUUCAAAUCUCACAACUGUUUCGACUGGUCACAACCUGCCAGCACCUACCCUGACCUGGAUAAGUGGGUCUUGCUACUUCUGUCUUUGUCUCUCCCAGGGAAUCAUCUUUAUACCAGUCGGAGUGCUAUUUCCACAAUGCUAGUAAAUUGAGAUUGUUUCUUAGAAGACCUUCAGGGACUUGGAAGGACUGACUCAAGUAGUAUGGGAAAACAUACACCUAACAGUAUGCAGUUGUCUAUUCUAGGGACUGGAAAGCCAACUGCCCACAGGAACGUGGCAGCUAAGACAAAGGAGGAGAAACAGACGGAGGAAGACAACAAGGGGUCUCACUAUGUAGUUGAAACUGACCUGGAACU